GGUGAAGAACUCUGGAAUGAGUCUUUGCCAAAAAGACGUUUACGUUAUGCUCGUAGGCGUUGCCCAAGGAUGAGGCCGCGACCGAUCAGGUUGUUGGUGAGGUAAUGGCUCACCAAGCCUUUUACCGGUGCGGGCCGUGAGAGCGGGAGCCCGGAGAUGGGCACUGAGACAAGGGCCCAGGCCCUACGGGGCGCAGCAGGCGCGAAAACUUUGCAAUACACGAAAGUGUGACAGGGCUAUCCCGAGUGCCAUCCGCUGAGGAAGGCUUUUACCCAGUCUAGAACGCUGGGGGAAUAAGGAGAGGGCAAGUCUGGUGUCAGCCGCCGCGGUAAUACCAGCUCUCCGAGUGGUGUGGAUGUUUAUUGGGCCUAAAGCAUCCGUAGCUGGCUAAGUUAGUCCCUUGUUAAAUCCACCGAAUUAAUCGUUGGAUUGCGGGGGAUACUGCUUGGCUAGGGGACGAGAGAGGCAGACGGUAUUUCCGGGGUAGGGGUGAAAUCCUAUAAUCCCGGGAAGACCACCAGUGGCGAAGGCUGUCUGCUAGAACGCGCCCGACGGUGAGGGAUGAAAGCUGGGGGAGCGAACCGGAUUAGAUACCCGGGUAGUCCUAGCCGUAAACGAUACUCGCUAGGUGUCGGCCACGGUGCGACCGUUGUCGGUGCCGUAGGGAAGCCGUGAAGCGAGCCACCUGGGAAGUACGGCCGCAAGGCUGAAACUUAAAGGAAUUGGCGGGGGAGCACCACAACGG
rnacentral:rRNA from 1 species